rnacentral:tRNA from 1 species
GCGGGUGUAGCACAGUGGUAGUGCAGCUGGUUGCCAAUCAGCGUACACGGGUUCGAUUCCCGUCACCCGCU